rnacentral:lncRNA from 1 species
UGUCGGCAGUUUUAGGGAAGUCCGUGAUUAUACCAUCAAUUUUUAGGCCAUCAGCAUUUAGAUAUGAGUUUAUCUCAACAGUUGCAUCUGAGAAGAAAUCCCACGCUUGAGAAACAAACUCAUUGCUGAAUGUCUCUACAAAAACCGAGAGGUUGGCAGCGUUUAGCUUCGGCACNGUUUUNGUAGUGCUUGUNAGGAAUNNAUNANUNUNAGAAAAUACAGAGUUCUUNUUGACAAUCACAGCACUAGCAAAUUUCUUUAUAUCCUCAACAGCUGCAUUAGCAGCAUCACCGACAGUCUCGUCAAUGUUGUACACAAGCUCAUAACUGGUUUUCUCUUUGAAGUUUAGCAGUACAGAACUAUCAGUGGAUUGGAUAUAAACCUUUUGGGAUCCGGGUUUAUCAUAACCUGCCUCGCUCAAAGCAUUGAUUACUGCAUCAAUCACGCUUAAUCCUUGAUUCUCAGCAAGAUAGGCUGCAUUCUGAUAACAUGAACAACGAUACCAUCGAUGUUGGUAAAUUGAAGAUGAAAAGUACAAAAAAUCAUUAACACGCUCGAAACAUACAACAAUUAUUUGUUUUAUCAUCACCAUAAAAAAAAAGAAACAUUCUUUUCUUUGUAGAAAUAAAUCAUGCUGAAAAAGAGUCAGUGAAUAAGUAUUUAAUGUGAAAUUCACAUAUAUACAGGUUUUGGGCAAGUGAGCCAUAAGGUUUUUGGUUUCCAAAGAGAAAUAGUGAGCGGCACAAAGUACAAGAACUCUUGAGUUAAAAACUGUAUAUUUCAUAAUUUUUUGGCAUGGAUAUACAAGACUUUAGAACGAAAAUAUGGUCAGCGAAAACAAGUGCAACAGUUCUUUUAACCAUUUGAUAAAAAUAAGUCUUAACAUUCCAUAUUUCUAUUUGCCUCCUUUGACGGUGCAAUCAAUCAUAAGAAUUGUUAAAUAGUUAAGUGACCCUAAUCCAUUUUCACAAAAAAACUAGCUUUAUUAUUAUCAUAAAAAAGACUAAACGUUCAAAUAACAGCCCAUAUAAUAAAUCUAAUAGAGUUAACAGGUUGAAGGAACGCACCUCAACAGCGAUAGAGACACCAGAUAGAGAAGGCUCACUUUUUGUCAAGGACAAGAAAUCUGACAACGCCACCAAGUGCCCAAAAUUCUUAGCUUCUGGAUUCCUGAACAAUCUGUAUUUUGCAUAAGGAUUCAAUAUGGAGGCUGCAAGGAAAAUAAAGAGAAAAAUGUCAAAUAUUUGCUGUAACACGUUCUGGAGGCAGCCAAGUGAAAGGACCAUUAUUUAUGAAGGGAAGAAAUGUUGGGAUAAACUUAAAUUUAGAGAUUUAUUAUUUUGUUAGUUUUGAGUUUAGUAAUAUUUGGUUUGAUUUGAUAGAGAUAAAAUAGGAAUGGUAGUUAUGAUUUUCUAUUUAUCUAGGUAGAAUAUCAUUUUAUGAUAGAAUAGGAGAUUUGAUUUUUAGGCGGUUUGUGUAAUUUGCACCUAUUUAAAGGUUGCUAAAGUUUAAUGAAAAUAACCCACCCAUGGAUUGAAAAGUAAUAUUAUUUGUGUGGGUCAAACCCACAAUGAAUUGAAGUGUGAAACUAUUUGUGUGGUUUCACCGUUUGGUAUCAGACCCCAACAAGAAAUUUGUCGUGGUAGUUUAUCAGUGACACAUGAUUGUCCUUUAUAAAUUGAAGAUUUAAGCUAAUUUCCUCUUUAUUCCCAAAACACGAUUUGUACCAAUGUGCAAAUAUCUCCUAAAUUAUGGCUAGUUGAAAGUAUAGUCAAAUAAGCUUUGACAAGUCUGGAUUAACUCCAUGCAAAUACAGAAAUAUAGAAGACCAUUUGACCUAAUUGAAUAGCAAACAACUACAGAAAUUUCUGACUUACGGGUCAAAGUUUUUAUAUCACUCCACGUGAGGUUGAAUGCAAAUAUGCCACUGGUGGGUUUGAUCUGAGGGAUAGUCAUGGCAAAUUUGCUGAACGUUGAUUGGGCAACUGUCGUACUCUCUAUAAGAUCAAUGGAGUUUAAGCAAAAUGGUGUUCCAUCCUUUGAUAUUUGAACCGGACAGUCAAGAACANGUCGUACUCUCUAUAAGAUCAAUGGAGUUUAAGCAAAAUGGUGUUCCAUCCUUUGAUAUUUGAACCGGACAGUCAAGAACAUCCACACCGUACUCGAUGGCCUUCUUAUAUGCUAAGUCGGUACAAGCAGGAUAAUCACCACUUGCUCCAUAUUUUGAGAUAAUCAAAGCUUUAUCUGAAACAUAAUAAAAAAAAUUAAAGAAACAAAUCAAUAAUGAUGCAAACUUGGUUCCAUCAGAUGAUAAAAAAUCACGCACAAAAAAAAAAAAAAAAAAAACUAGAAAUAGCUAAGAACAUGAGAAUACAUAUUUCAAGAUUGUAACUACGUGUACCUUGUUUCGUGGCAUUGGUGCCUAACUGAGAAAAGCAACCUGCAUUACAAGAAGACAACCCAAUAUAUAAUUAAUAGAGAAAAUAAGAAUUAUUAACACAAGUGUACAUACAUGUUUUAAGGUUACAAUUUCAGUAUGCAAAAUGCAGGUGUUGGUUCCCAAGUGAUUAAUCACUAAAGUUCCAAAUUGAAUAAUAUGAAGUGAAAAGUAGAAACUAAGAGUUGAUUUGAAAGUAAUCAUCACAACUCAAUUAGUUCAAUUAGUUCCUUAGAUGUACAAAGGACUUUAGAAGUUGGUGUUAUUGGAAGAUUUGCAAUUUUGUUAAAAAAACAAAGUUACGAGGAGACAACUUGCUAUUUACUUUCAUGCAGUAAGGAAAUUGAACAUGUUUAUUGUGGGAGCAUGAAAUCCUGCAUGAAAUCCUCUAGAAAAAGUCAACACAAAUUCUAUCUGUAUCCUUCCUAUUAUCAAGGUUUGCAUAACUAUCUUAGUGGCAACCUCGUGAAAAGUGAACAUAACUCCUUACUAUGACUCGAAGAAUAAACUGGCUUAUGAAUAUACCAGUUCCGGGUAGAUUGAUCAGUAGAGUCCUGGAUAAUAAUCAUUUGACAUGCUGAUUCACACAAUAAAUCCUAUCUUGGAAAAGGUUAAAACAAUUUAACACACGUCGACUAAAGAUAAGUCCAAUUUAUAAUAUAUAAGGGGAUGUAAACCUCAUCUUAAAAACUGAUUUUGUAGGAUUGAAUUAGACUUAAAAUCCAUUUCUUAAUACACAUGAAGAAAAUUGAGGAUUUGGCCAUCCAUGGUCAUUCUAAAAUCAGAGAUGCAUGCAAAUGCAAGAGGCAACAGGCACACUUAAGGAGAUUCACUCAGACACUAUGAACUUUAAGAUAAUUUUAUCUGAUGAAACCUUAGAGCUACAUCAACUCCAUAUAAGGAGGAAUAUCAUGAGUUAGACUUAAAGUCUAUUUUUUAAUGCACACAAAGAAAAUUGAAGAUUUGGCCAUCCAUGGUCAUUCUAAAAUUGGAGAUGCAUGCAAACGCAAGUGGCAAGAGGCACAUUUAAGGAGAUUCACUCAGACAGUACGAACUUUAGGAUACUUUUAUUUGAUGAAACCUUAGAGCUGCAUCAACUCUAUACAAGGAGGAAUACCAUUGAGUCUAUUUUAGGGAAAUUUCUUCAGUUCAAAUUAACUUACACAUGAAUUAAUUUGUAGAUGUUAUUUCCUAUUAACCACAAAAUCUGACUUUUAACUCGUGAAUAAGCUAAGUUUAGGUUAUACGGAAGUUAAUUUAAUUUUUAUUUUAAUUUUGGUUUUUAUCCUAAAAUUAUUUAUGGAAAAUAUUCCUUCAAACAGAACCUACGUAUCAGUGAAAUAUAUUUAAGAGAAUGUUUGAACGGAGAUGUUUGAAGGGGAUGGGAUGACAGCAGAUUUUUCAUUUCGAUCUAGAAACAAAAAAGAAAAUUAGAAAACAGAACAAGCGAUGAUGAUUGGUAAUUUACAUAAUAAUCUCUGAUUUUAUUCUUCAAGUUCUGUUAUUUUAAGAAAUUCUCGAAUGUUUAGAUAAAAAAAAUACUUUUGGCUCUCCUCUGAUCUCUUCUAUCCAAAAAACACCCUACGUAAACAGGAUUUUGAUCAGACAAAAUGUAUGCUAUUUGUGACAGGCUAUCAUGGAAGAAAAAUAAACAAACUUACCUAUUGCUUCAAAUGCAGUAACGGGGAAAUCAGACAGCACACCAUCAACAGAGAAGUCACCGUUGUCUAUGAACUGGAGGUUCUCAGUAAGUGGAUCGUAACUGUAAUUGAAGCUAGAUGGAACAUCAUUCACAAAAUCUGAUCCAAAAACUUCCAGCCCCGCUUUAUGUGCAUCCGAGACCAAAGAUGUAUGUGGUUGUAGAUAAAGUCUUGCAUCUACUGGCCAUAUGUAUCCCUUCGGAACAAGAAUUCCAGAAGCAAAUGUCUUGAUAAAUGUAAGAUUCGUUAAAAGAGAUUCAUAAGUCUGAUUGGUCGAUGGUUCUACAUCAUUCUUUGCCAUGAACCGGAAGACCAGUUUUGUUGUUUUCGGGUUGAAGCGUGAUGAUAUACCUCUCAGAAAAUUAACCUCGGGUGAUGAGAUAUGACUGAAAACUAUUCUUUUAGAAGCUGAAAGCACAAAGCUUCUCAUACUCAAAUUGUGCUCUGCGUAGAANGCAUCGUGCUUUAAAAUAAAAGAGAUAACAAGAGUUAGUUUUAAAACAAACAAGGAGACUAAAUCAUGAGAAUGGAAUAUGCAUUCAUUCCAUUUACCUGAAUAUUCAACCAUAUUCCUUUCGGUUUUUGUUUAGAUGUAAGCAAAUCAUCCACAGUAAGAAUUGGAAAAACAUUGCCAUCAAACCGAUUGGUUCGAGAGUAUACUCCCUGAGUUACUGUCCAGAAACAACAAACAGUCAGCAACUAUACAAAAUAAGAACUGUCAGCAACACACAUGCACUGCAAAAAAGAAUCAUUUAGUCCAUAAAAUACCAAAAAUCUGAAACUAUUAAAUACAAAACUACAUGUUUUAAAUAAAUUAAACUCACAGGCGACACUGCUUAGCUGCUUCAUAGUGUAAUCCAGAGAAAAAUAGCCAUCGGUGGGUACUCCAUUAACCAAGUAACUCUUGGUUUGAUUAGGGUAAGAGAAAGCAAUGUAAGUGGAAUUUAAAAGGUUUAUGUCUGGCAGGCAAAUCCCAACUGCAUCUUUUGUUAACUGCACGUCACACCAUACAUAGACAUCCGGUCCACACGUUAUUACUGCCAAAUUAUAUGCACUAUCACUGGAAUCAGGAAAAAUCCCUGAAAAUCCACCACGUGCCACAACCAACGGCGGACCUCCUGCGAAACAAGAACACAAGUAAGUUUCAAAACACCUAGAGCAGUGAAAAAAAGUCGCAACAAUCUUUGACAUUAUGUCAACAAUCGUAUUCACUCAGACGUUCGCCUCAAGAUUGCAUGCAAAAAAUUGUUAAUGCUGAAAAUCCCACUUUCACAAGUUAAGUGAUAUGGCUAGAGAAGAGUAUUCGUUUCAGUUAGAACUAAAACCAGAUUCUAAAAUAGUUUCAAAACUUAUAUUAACAAUUUUUGGUAAGUUUAUCAAGUCACCCUUAGACCGUUAUCCGCUGCUGGAAGAUGGCUUAAUUUAAGAAACUGUCACAGAUUCCACAUCAACUACCGAUGGUGUGGUUAAAAACGAGUGUAUGUCAUAUCUUGAGCCAAAACCAUAAUUCUAUGAGGUGAAUCGACAAGGAUUUCAUUCAUCCAAAACAUUCGCUAACAAAUGAUAAUAAGCUUGAGAAACGCCAAACUAUGUAGAAGCACUACAUCAAUUAUCGACACAGCUUGGCCAUUUAUCCAAAUCCGUACUCAGCUCAAACUAAGCAAUGAAAGUUGAGAGAAAAGAAACGCACAGAUCCUACACUUGCUAGCAAGUUGGUUAGUAUCGGUUGCAAAAAUAGAAAGUGAAGAGAAAGAGAAGUAAAGAUCGAAGUAAGAGAGGAUACAUUAGAAGAAUGAGAGAGACAAUUAUACCGCUGAGUGUCUUCCAGGCAGAUCUCUGAGCAGAGACGGUAGCAAGGAGACAGUGAAGAAGAAGAAGAAGCACCGCGAGUGGAGCAGAGAGAGCGCGUGGAUUCCACAUCCCGGCAACGGUGGCAGAUUACGACGAAGUGAAAAACCCAACCACCUCAAAAAUGCAAAGAGGAGAGAGUAACUGUUUCUAUGUGUGACACAAUGAGGUCUUAACUCAGAAGCUGAACUUUUCUAAAGUGCUAAUGGCUUUUGUUAUUUUCUUUCUUGGGGUUAUAUCAUUGUGGAAUUACAUUUUUAUAUAUUAUUUAAUUAGAUUUAAUAUUGUUGUGUGAAAAAAUAAAAGAAAAGAAAAAAUGUUGGGGAAAGUGGACAAGCUGGCUUGAGCUAAGCCGCGGUUUUGACUGAUGUAGCAGGUGGUGCGGUCUGGGGUCCACAACGUGGUUGUCAAAACUCUGGCAAGGGACACGUGGCGUCGCUUUAUUGGUACCAAGUGCGUGAUUUGAGAAAACGCGCAAAACGGCGACGUUGUGCGUGGGUGUCCACCGUGGACGGACAACGUGCGACCGUGAAUUGCGACUGCGAUUUGAUUUGAUGGUCGUGUUUGAUAUUACAAUGAAUGAAGCCUGUCUGAACUUUGAUUCUACUGCGCUACAAUUAAUUUACUGUAAUAAUUAAUUAUAAAACUAAACACGGAUUAAAGUCUAAACCUAAAACAUCAAUUACACUAUAACUCAUUUCCAUUUCCAAAAUUAACUUAAUCUAUUGUUUUAUAUUAAGUUCAAACAGAUGAAUGACGAAGUAAGAUCAAUGAAUGGAAGUUUUCUUCUUCAAAGUUAUGGUCGUUAAAAUUUUCAUGUUAUCAAUUAACAAACAUUUAUUAAUGAAGUUUAUAACAGGUAAAAAAAAUUAAGACUUGCAUUAAGUAGGUAUGCCGUUUUAGAUGCUAAUUUUGUUUGUUGUUGACCUCAUUUAAUAGAGUUGUACUUUAUACUUUCCUAUUUGGUAUAGAAAAAAUAAAAGAAAAAAAUAAUCAGUUCUUAGAUUCUAUAAUUUCAGUUGAUUUUAUUGGUUGUCACCUCAAUCAGUAUAUAAGUUGAAAUUAUAUUUUUUUAAUUGGUAUAAAAAAGGAAAAAAUGGUUCGUAGAUUUUAUAUUUUCGGGUAAUUUUUGUUGGUUGGUCACCUCAUUUAAAGUAAUUUAAUUUCCACUUAUAUUUCAUUAAUUGGUAUAAAGAAGAAAAGAAAAAAAAAAUGGUCCUUAGAUUCUGUAUUUCGACCAAAUCUAUCAAGGGCAUUAAUUGUGACGUUAUAUUUAUAUAUUAAAAUCUGGGUGGAUUUAUUUUUCAAUUAAUUAUUCAUGCAAAAAUGUUUAUAUAUUGGUAAAAAGUGAGACUGAAUUUAAAAAAAAAAAUGCACUCAAGUCAUUUUAUGUACACAUGAUAAUAAAUAUGUAAUAAAUAGCAGUGGGUAAGGUUGCUUAUUUGUAAUUUGUUUAAGGGUUACGUUAUUUUAUUUUUGCAUGUCAUGUUCUAAUAAUAUUUCUUUAAUAUAUUUUUUUUCUCAUUUGAACUGGUCAUCAUUUUGUUUAUAAUCUCGUGUUGUACGUGUAAGGUUGAAUUAAAAUAACUAAAACUCACUUAUUUUUCUCUUUUAAUAUAUGGUUAAUUAACUAAAUUCUCAUUUAAUUUUAUGGUUUAUUAAAUGUUUUGGUCUCUUCAUUCUCAUGAUUUUAUUUUACAAAGUCUUUUGUAUAUUUUGGUCUUAAUCAAUGGUCAAUCUAGUGUGGCAUAGUUAACCAUUAUCAUUGUCACGUCAAAAUCAAUUAACAAUACUAAAUUGUCAACUAACAUAUAUAUAAAUAAAAAUCGUUGAAAAUUUUAACCCAUUCAUGCAACUAUAUCCUUUGUUUAUUUAACUCAUGAAUUAAAAGAAAAAUGUAUAUAAUUAUUGUAGAGUGAUAUGAGGAAAGGAAUAAAUGAAUGAGAAAAAAGAGAUAAUUGUUUUUUUUUUUUUGAAAACAAAAAUAAUUAUAAAGGAAUAAGUGAUUCUUACACUUAUUUAUGUUGAAAUUGAAAAAGAUAUAAUUAAAAAUUUUGCAACUAUUUAAAAAGAAAUAGUGAGUAUGAAAUCAAUAAUAUAUAUAUAUAUAUAUAUAUAUAUAUAUAUAUAUAUAUAUAUAUAUAAUUUUAACACUAUCACGUGAUCAUGUGGCCAGUAAAAUAUAAUUUUAACUUUGCGUGAAUGUUAGACAUUGAGAUUAUAAUUAAUUUGAUUAUAUUAUUUUAAUUCCUAAAAUUAUUAGUAAAAUCCUACUUAUGAUUAUAAUAAAAAGUGAUUGGGCUAAAGAAGAUGAAAGCUAAAAGACGAAGACUUUUGCUUUAAAGACAGAGAGACGAAGACUUAUUCUUUAUACUGUAAAGAGAUAUGAGCGGUGUAUUCAUUUCAGACAUAAAACAACAAUUUUGAUUUUGAAACAUCAUUUAUACAAUUAAGACGUAAAAACAAAAACAGAACAGAAGUUUCUGAUAAACUAAUGGGUAUGACAGCGAGUUUUGUGGUCAUCAUUUUCGAUUACGAUGAUGCUGCUGUCCCACUUUUCCCAUAGAUUAACUUAUCACAAUCUCUUCUUAAUACAAAUCAUUGUCCUGCUCUGACAUUUGGAGUUUCAAAACCGUUUUUCAGACCAAGACCAUUUCAAAACACCAUUUUCAUACUCUUCACUCUUCCAAAUUUUCUUUUUCAAUGCUUGAAUGUAAAAAAUAAUGUAUUUUUCAUUACCUGAGCUGGCAGGGUCCCUCCUUAUUCUUAAACCAAUGGCCAUGGAAAAAGAAAAAGAAAGGUUCUUUAAAUAUAUUCCUUAAACUAGACAAAGUAUAUGUGGCAUCUCACUUUUGAAAUGUAUUGUCACCCCUCUUGUCCAAGUGGUUUCAUUAUAUAUAUAUAUAUAUAUAUAUAUAUAUAUAUAUAUAUAUAUAUAUAUAUAUAUAUAUAUAUAGGAAAAAGUCUUUUUAACAAUUUUUUUUUUGACAACUCAUACGUGACAGUUUAUGGUUGGUCCAUUUCAAAUAUUUUUUUAAAAAUAAUUUCAAACAUACCAAUAAAAUGAUGACACAUGUCCUGUUGUCAAAAAGUUGUUAAAAAAGAGUUGUCAAAGUAUCAUUGUCCAUAUAUAUAUAUAUAUAUAUAUAUAUAUAUAUGAUGGAUAAUGAUAUUUUAACAACUAUUUUUUAACAACUUUUUUACAACAGGACACGUGUCACAAUUAUAUUGGUCUGUUUGAAUUUAUUCUAAAAGAAUAUUUGAAACAGACCAAUCACAAACUACCACGUAUGCAUUGUCAAAAAAUUAUCAAAAAAGAGUUGUUAAAAAGAAUUUUUCCAUAUAUGAUUGGAAAUAAUAAACUUUUUAUUUGGGAAAAAAGGGGUUGGUUAGGUUAAACCUUUUUGGUGCUUAAAGUUGAGCCAUGAGAAGUGUAUAAAGUGUGAAAAUAUAUGUAUAUGCUUAUUGUGAAUUUAAAAUUGUUGUUUUGGUAAAAUAUUUUUUUAAAUUAAUGACCGGCAAUAUUUCUUUUUAAUUUUGUGAGCAUGGGAGAUGGUGGAAUUUUCAUCGCAAUUAUACUUUUAAUGCAAGGGGCAAUGGAAAAUGACGUUGUGCAUAAUGACUGAAAUUAAUUUAAGUUAUGCAGAAUGGUUCCAAAAUCGACAAUUUUGAUGUUGUAAUGAAAGGAUCGGAAAAGAUAAUGUUUGAUAGAGUUAAGGAUGGGCUGUUGAAGUGUAGAAGCUGGGAUAAUGAAGGUUUGAUUUAGUCACGAAAACCGCGUCUCAUGUUUUUAACUUGGUUAUAGAUGUUUUGGCUGCUUGCUCUUUCAUGUAAUUUUUCUUUUCAGAGUGUGAAAAGUUGAGUUGUAAACACAAUGGAGUCAAAAACAUUGGUAAGUUGGUUUCUUUUUUUCAUCCUCUCAUUCUUUAUGACAGUUUUGUAUUGCUUCAUUUGACAACUAAUGUACAAGAGUUUGUUCUAUAUACCUCUAUCUAGGAGCAUACAUAGGAUUAGAUUCUUAACAAACAAACGAAUAAUAAUAGCUAAGUCAAUAAUAUAGAAGAUGACAAAUACCUAUUUUUAAAAUAGGAUCAUCAUAAUGACUUUCAUUUUAUGUUGACUUGAAUGAAUAAUAGGAUUGGACAUGUUUGUGGUUAAAGAAAUUAUAUUUGGAGCAUUAAGUUUAACUUAAAUUCAUCAUUGAUUGUUUUUACAUGGUUUAAUUUUUAUUUACUUUUAAUUUUUACCAGAGAAAAAUUCAUAGGACCAAAAAGUUUUUCACAAAAAAAAAUUCACAUAUCAAAAUAUACACAUAAAACGCUGGAUAUCCGUCCAUGAGCUUUCUUUUUAAAAAAAUUAUUUUGAAUAUAAGAAAGAAAAUGUAUUUAACUCUUAAUUAAUUUGUCACAAAUAUAAGUGUUUUUAAUUUGUUAAAUAACUAUAUACAAACAUUUUAAUCCAACUUACAUAAACUUUGUAAAAUAUUUCAAUAAAAUUGAUUGUUUUAAUUUGUCAAAUAACUAUAUAUAAACAUUUUAAUCCAAUUUACAUAAACUUUGUAAAAUAUUUUAAUAAAAUUGAUUGUUUGCUUAUAUACAAAAUUGUGUAAUAACAUAAAAAGUUAAAUUUUUGGCUAAACAUAUUUAAUUUUCCUUAACAAGGAUAAACAUAUUUUUAAAAUACAUAAAAUAAUUAUUUAAUAUGUUGUAUGAAAAAUUCAUCAUCAGAAUAAAAUAAAAUAUUUCAAAUUAAGAGUUUAAAAUAAUAAAUUUAUAAAUAACAAAUUUAUGAAUUUUUUAUAUUAUUUAUUGUUUAUUUCUUCUUUUUUUUAGUUAUGACUUAAAUUUAUACUUAAAUUUUAUCAUUUUUAAUAAUAUAUAUAUAUAUAUAUAUAUAUAUAUAUAUAUAUAUAAUGUAAUAUUUUUUAAUUAUGAAAUAAAAUAAGCCAGGAAUUUAUUAGAAUUAAUUCAAAUAUUCUCUUUGACUAAACUUCUUGUUUCUUUUGUUAUGUUUGAGAUCUUUAUUAAAUGUUAUAAGUUUUAUUCUCUAAGAAAUUAAUAAAUUUAUACUUAAAUUCUACUAAUUAUUAUUAUUAAAAUACAAAUAUUGUUAAAUUUAUCAAACAAAAUGUUCUUAAAGGUGCUUAUAAAAUAGUACAUUAUUAUAUUUUAAAUUAAAUGCAUUCACUAGAUGCAUGUAUUCUUACCUUAAUUCCUAUAAACAAAUAAAAAAAUCAGUCUUUUUACGUUAGAAGUAUUCAUGUUAUUGUUUCUUUUUCUCUAUGGUAACAACAAAAUUCGAAUUUAAGAUCUUAUAUAAGUUAAACAAAUCCUUAGUUAAGGUAACUCAAGUGGGUGGUUUCGGUUGCAUUGGAUAAUAAUACAUCAUGAUUAUUUUAUUCUUCUAAAAGUGCGUUUUGCUCAUUUUCCACUUUCUGCACUUCCAACACUCAUUAGCCUUCAAUCAAAGAGAACAGCAGCAUUCAAAGACGCCCAUAUGUUUUGCAUUCGACAAUGCUGUGAUUUCUGUUAAUUGUAAGAUCAGGAGAGAAAUAGCAGUUUAUUGUGGAUAAUUUUCAGAAAAGAGGACCUCAAUUUGUUAAUCUCGUCAGAUGCAUAAAAAUAUAAAUAUAUCUUACAACAAGACACACAAAAUACACGUCUGAAAAGAAUUCAUGGAUAUAUAUAUAUAUAUAUACCACGCUAACUUAUGACUACAGCAUAACCCCGAGAAGCAAUUGGGGAGCUAAGAAUGGACAAUCAUAGCUACAACAAAGUAGAUUGAAAGAAUUUGCUCCUUUCAAGAAGAACAAAAACUGUGGAUUGUUCAUGUAUUCAGUCUAAAGCCAAAAGCUUUCAUGCCAUUCAAUCUAAAAGGGAUGUGCAAAUAAGGGGUUGAAACCAGCAAAAGGUUUUCUUAGAAGGACGUUUAGAGAUGAUUUUGCUCAAAGCAGAAGAAGGGAAGCUAUGAACACAGCCAGAGAGGAAAAGAAGAAGCAGACAGCAACCUUAGGCUGUGCAUUUCCUUGUGGUGCUGGGGUUCCAGAUCUGGGGCUUGAAACUGGGGCUAUUUUAGCAACAGGAGGCAAAGGUGGCACUGCAACUUCAGAUUUUGUCAAGGGUGGGAGUGGAGCUUGAGCUGGAGGCAAGAAAUCUGUGGUAAUGAGAGAAAAAAGACCACCUGGUUGAACAGGGGCCAUGUAAGUAGGUCUCUUGUCACCCAAAUUUAAGCAUUUGUUCCCUGCAGUAAAAUGGAGAAAAAAAUGUUUCAGUAAUGAAGAGGCUCAUAAAAGACAACCACAUGGUACGGCAGAAAUUGCUGGCAUGGCACUUACUUCUGUAUCUGUCGGCAGUUUUAGGGAAGUCUGUGAUGAUACCAUCAAUUUUUAGGCCAUCAGCAUUUAGAUAUGAGUUUAUCUCAACAGUUGCAUCUGAGAAGAAAUCCCACGCUUGAGAAACAAACUCAUUGCUGAAUGUCUCUACAAAAACNGAGAGGUUGGCAGCGUUUAGCUUCGGCACGGUUUUCGUAGUGCUUGUCAGGAAUUCAUUAUUUUUAGAAAAUACAGAGUUCUUGUUGACAAUCACAGCACUAGCAAAUUUCUUUAUAUCCUCAACAGCUGCAUUAUCAGCAUCACCGACAGUCUCGUCAAU